AAUAGAUACCCGGGUAGUCCACGCCGUAAACGGUGGGCACUAGAUGUGGGGUUCAUUCCAUGGGAUUCCGGCGUCGCAGCUAACGCAUUAAGUGCCCCGCCUGGGGAGUACGGCCGCAAGGCUAAAACUCAAAGGAAUUGACGGGGGGCCCGCACAAGCGGCGGAGCAUGCGGAUUAAUUCGAUGCAACGCGAAGAACCUUACCAAGGCUUGACAUAUACGGUCUAUCCCUAGAGAUAGGGAGUGCUUCGGCGCCGUAUACAGGUGGUGCAUGGUUGUCGUCAGCUCGUGUCGUGAGAUGUUGGGUUAAGUCCCGCAACGAGCGCAACCCUCGUUCUAUGUUGCCAGCACGUAAUGGUGGGGACUCAUAGAAGACUGCCGGGGUACAACUCGGAGGAAGGUGGGGAUGAGGUCAAAUCAUCAUGCCCCUUAUGUCUUGGGCUUCACGCAUGCUACAAUGGCCGGUACAAAGGGCUGCAAUACCGUAAGGUGGAGCGAAUCCAAAAGCCGGUCUCAGUUCGGAUUGAGGU
rnacentral:rRNA from 1 species